rnacentral:lncRNA from 1 species
CCUGAAACCUAGACGGAGACGUGCGAGAAACAGAUUUUGAACAUGAAAAGAGCAGCUGUGUUGGCUGAUACAGCCCUCUAUCCCCAGGCUGCCACCUCUCCCCUCUCCAACGGCCUUUACUUAACGGAACCUGGUUGCAGAGGCAGCUGGCUGAGCAUGUCUGCUCCUGCUGAAAUCUCACCACAGAUGCGGCUGCUUCAUAAUGACUAUAAUCAGAGCAAGCUGCAUUUACUCUGUAAAAAUCCAGGAGGGUCCGUGAAGGAGAGACACAAACACUGGACACAAGCACAGGAAGGAGACAGGGAUGAAGAACGCUGCUGA